rnacentral:rRNA from 1 species
UACAGAGGGUGCGAGCGUUAAUCGGAAUUACUGGGCGUAAAGCGUGCGUAGACGGUCAAGUAAGUCGGGUGUGAAAGCCCCGGGCUCAACCUGGGAAUUGCAUUCGAGACUGCGUGGCUAGGGUGCGGAAGAGGGAAGCGGAAUUUCCGGUGUAGCGGUGAAAUGCGUAGAUAUCGGAAGGAACACCAGUGGCGAAAGCGGCUUCCUGGACCGACACUGACGCUGAGGAGCGAAAGCCAGGGGAGCAAACGGG